AUGCAUGCGUGGACGUUGCGGCGUGCUUUAAAAUCUCCUAAGUUCCGACACCUUCAUCACCUACGAAUAAACAACGAAGCCACGACACCAUCACGACGCGGGCGGUUCAGAAACAUGGUCAUCUCACCACCCCGUGUCAACAAGCACCUCAAACGCUCGUUCCAGCUUGUCGUGAACAACUUCCUCUUCAUCAUGGCCGCACCGCUCACAGUCAUCGUCGUUGUCCGUGAAGACGCGCUGCUCGGACCCGAGGAGAUUCUCUCCCGGCUCGAUGGCUUGCGGCAGUUUCACGUCUUCUUGGCCGUCUUUCUCCCGUUCGCUUUGGCCACCUUCUACCUCAUGGGUCGCUCUCGCAGCGUGCACCUCGUCGACUACUCUUGCUGCAGGCCUAAAUCUAAUUGCCGCGUCUCCAUAAGAUCCUUGGUGAUGAACUGUUGA
rnacentral:rRNA from 1 species